AACCAAGUAGUGGUGUAUGGGAGAACAUGAGGGAUGGGCAGAGCCAAGUGGGCUAUUGCCGAACGGGCUAUUGCCCAAUGCAGAACCAAUGAUCCGAGUCCUUGACUCGGAAAGAUGGUCGAGGGCUGAGGAAAGGACUGAUGAGUUAAUUGUCUGUAUUCAGCCUAAUCGGCCAUCGGAGGAGCGGAGAAAUGCUGUUGCUGAUUAUGUCCAGCGGCUCAUUAUGAAAUGCUUCCCUUGUCAGGUUUUCACUUUUGGUUCAGUACCCUUGAAGACUUACCUUCCUGAUGGUGACAUUGAUUUAACUGCCUUCAGUAAUAAUCAAACUUUGAA
rnacentral:misc_RNA from 1 species